AAGAAAUAAAAGUUGUUUGGAAGAAUCCAGGUGUGGUUGCUUUGUAUGUUGUGAUGGGUAGAAGGGAUGAAGUGAAAUGUGAAGGCCACUCACACUCUCUAUCUUGCCUCAGAUUGUGUCCUAAAACCCUGGGGUGGAGAAAGCGCCACUUUCAUUCCUGCUUCCGGGGGUUGUUGAUGGUCACCUUGUGAUAGAGAACCACAAGUAAGAAGACAGACAUGCCCACCUUGUUGGCGAAGAUGGCAAGCUGCACGUCUGUGAUCAUCCUGACCAGCUUGACUCGGCUCCGAUGCUGUCUGCACACCAGCUGGAGGAGAGGUCUAUAUUUUAGAAGAGGGAAUUUACUGCCAAGACUGAACCUAGGAUGGGUGCAGCAAGAGGCAAAAACCACUUACAGUGCUUGACAGUUUCCAAAACACAGAUAUCAACAUUGACUUAAGACC
rnacentral:lncRNA from 1 species